rnacentral:rRNA from 1 species
GACAGAGGUGCCAAGCGUUAGGCGGAAUCACUGGGCUUAAAGCGUGUGUAGGCGGAAUGGUAAGUACCUUGUGAAAUCCCACGGCUCAACCGUGGAACUGCUUGGUAUACUGCUUUUCUUGAGCCACUUAGGGGCAACCGGAACAAACGGUGGAGCGGUGAAAUGCGUAGAUAUCAGGAAGAACACCCGUGGCGAAAGCGGCUCUCUGGAACGGUACUGACGCUGAGACGCGAAAGCGUGGGGAGCGAACAGG